UGGAUAGUUCAGUUGGUUAGAGCAUGGUGCUGAUAAUGCCAAGGUUUCAGGUUUGAUCUCUGUACAGGACAG